rnacentral:rRNA from 1 species
AGUGAACGCUGGCGGUAGGCCUAACACAUGCAAGUCGAACGGCAGCAUAGGAGAGCUUGCUCUCUGGGUGGCGAGUGGCGGACGGGUGAGGAAUACAUCGGAAUCUACUCUGUCGUGGGGGAUAACGUAGGGAAACUUACGCUAAUACCGUAUACGACCUACGGGUGAAAGCAGGGGACCUUCGGGCCUUGCGCGAUUGAAUGAGCCGAUGUCGGAUUAGCUAGUUGGCGGGGUAAAGGCCCACCAAGGCGACGACCCGUAGCUGGUCUGAGAGGAUGAUCAGCCACACUGGAACUGAGACACGGUCCAGACUCCUACGGGAGGCAGCAGUGGGGAAUAUUGGACAAUGGGCGCAAGCCUGAUCCAGCCAUACCGCGUGGGUGAAGAAGGCCUUCGGGUUGUAAAGCCCUUUUGUUGGGAAAGAAAUCCAGCUGGCUAAUACCCGGUUGGGAUGACGGUACCCAAAGAAUAAGCACCGGCUAACUUCGUGCCAGCAGCCGCGGUAA